rnacentral:rRNA from 1 species
UACGGAGGGUGCAAGCGUUGUCCGGAAUCACUGGGCGUAAAGGGCGCGUAGGCGGCUCAUGAAGGCUGUGGUGAAAGUCCGGGGCUCAACCUCGGAUCGGCCGUGGCGACUCGUGGGCUGGAGCACUGUAGAGGGUAGUGGAAUUCCCGGUGUAGCAGUGAAAUGCGUAGAGAUCGGGAGGAACACCAGUGGCGAAGGCGGCUACCUGGACCAGCACUGACACUGAAGCACGAAAGCGUGGGGAGCAAACAGG